AAAGUAAGCUGGGCAGUCGCCGGUGCAGUGUCGAAAGACCGCACGGGAGGAAAGUCCGAGCUUCAUAGGGCGAGGGUGCCGGCUAACGGCCGGUGGGAGCGAUCCUAAGGAUAGUGCCACAGAAAGAAACCGCCAGCGGCCCCCAAUGGGGGUGCGGGUAAGGAUGCAACGGUGCGGUAAGAGCGCACCAGCAGCAUGGAGACAUGCUGGCUAGGUAAACCCCACCCGAAGCAAGACCGGAUAGGAGUCCACAUGCGUCGGCCCGGCGCGGACUCGGGUUGGUUGCUUGAGCGUGCUGGCAACAGUACGCCUAGAUAGAUGAUUGCCACUCCACAGUGCGAGGGUGACUCCCGUUUGCAGCACCAGGAGUACAGAACUCGGCUUACAGGCUUACUUUUCGG
rnacentral:RNase_P_RNA from 1 species